AGUGAACGCUGGCGGUAGGCCUAACACAUGCAAGUCGAACGGCAGCACAGUAAGAGCUUGCUCUUACGGGUGGCGAGUGGCGGACGGGUGAGGAAUACAUCGGAAUCUACUUUUUCGUGGGGGAUAACGUAGGGAAACUUACGCUAAUACCGCAUACGACCUACGGGUGAAAGCAGGGGAUCUUCGGACCUUGCGCGAUUGAAUGAGCCGAUGUCGGAUUAGCUAGUUGGCGGGGUAAAGGCCCACCAAGGCGACGAUCCGUAGCUGGUCUGAGAGGAUGAUCAGCCACACUGGAACUGUGACACGGUACAUAGUCCUACGGGAGGCGGCAGUGGGGAAUAGUGGGCAAUGGGCGCAAACCUGAGCCAGCCAUGCCGCGUGGGUGAAGAAGGCCUUCGGGUUGUAAAGCCCUUUUGUUGGGAAAGAACAGCAGCCGGUUGAUACCCCGCUGUUCUGACGGUACCCAAUGAAUAAGCACCGGCUAACUUCGUG
rnacentral:rRNA from 1 species